rnacentral:lncRNA from 1 species
UUUGUGGGCUCAGCACUGUUGCUGCAACUGCAACUGCAUGCACAUUGUUGAUGGCAGGGCCUGCAGUCAUGCUUGUUGUUCUCCUGAUCAGGGCAUGAGCGCUUAUUAUGUAAUUUUCUUCUGAAUGUUUCAUCAAUAUAUGUUUUAAUUAAUUCGCUGAAUCUUCUUAAUCUCAUAUAUAUGAAAAGAAAAAACAAAAAACAAAUGUUUGAUCGUAGAUAAAGAUAGUGUGAUAGUAGAGUUUGAUGUGUUGUUUGGGUUUGAUUAUUUGGUGUGGAUUCAUUGAUAAAUUUUAAUUUUAUUGUUAAUUUUAUCUUGUAUUUGAUGGUAAUUACGCAAUGGGGUAGAAAAGAUAAUUCACCUUUAAAGUUUAAGUUGGGUGUAAAAAGAAGUUAUAUGAGGUCAAAUAAAAUUUCUCCAACUCCGACAGAGAGCUCAAUGGCUAAAAACGGGUUGGGUUCCGGUUUAAGCUGACAAGCUAAUAGAGCGUAGCUGGUUUGACAUGACAACAUUUAAAAAUAACGAGUGUGACACAAAACCAAGACGAAUAAGACAAACACAACCUAACAUAAAAAUCUGGCUUGAGAAGAAUAUUUCACUGAACUUAUGAUUGGGCUUGUACUCUUAUCUUUUGAUAGGUAUACGCCAUCAACAAGGAUAGUCCUAUAUAUGUUUAUCAAGGACCUAUCGCCGAACAAAAUGAGAAUGAAAGGCAUCAUCUCAUUUCCUCGGGUAAUUUACAUGCCUAAAAUCCAAUUUGGUUUUCGUUAAUGCCAUGCCAAUGCUACUACAAAAAUAGAUAUGAACAUCUUUAUUCCGUAUGUCCUACUUAGGGUUGUAUUCAUGAUAUCAGUAGAUCGACAGAAUGUUAAGCAUAGAGUUUUCUCGGAUUUCACCUUUAUUUCACCCACAACCUUCCAUUCUUCUCAGUCCAGCUUGGAAACAACCUUGAUUCACCUUCCUCCUCCCCAAUCUUCCACAUGCAUACACAAACUGGAACUAAAAUUCCAAAUAUAGAAAUCGAUCCCAAAACUUAAAAGCUUUGAUUUUGGAAAAGCACUUACACUGGAGUACAGCCCACAAGGAGUGGAUCAUUUUUACCUCUUGGGUCGAGCUCCAAUUCCGGCAGGUUUGGCCGGAAAUCUCACGGUCACUGUUUCUUAGAUAUGAAAUUGAGGAAAUUUGGCUAAGAAUUUGUAGAAACUAUCUUUAGGUUUGAAAAGAGGACGGAAAGAGGAUUGUGAAGGUAUAAUUUGAAGGUCAUUGGUGACCCGUGGACGGCGGCGUUGUUUGUCUUUACUGGGUUGCCGUUGCAGCGUGAAGGAGAAGAAGACGGAGAGAGAGUAUACAGGAG